CCGCUUUAUUGAGAUUUCACCAUUUUCUCCUCUGAAAUGACUCUCUUCUCUCUCUCUCUCUCUCUAGAUAGAAGAUAUACAGAUGCCUCACUCCCUAUAUCGAGUUGAUCGUUUACGAGUAAUCGGCCUCUGCAAAGUGCCCUUUAGGUAAUUUGAACAACUGACGAACAGAUUUGAGUCUGAAGUUCGGUGUGCUCAUCAAGUUUCAUUAUAGUCAUCUGCUCCGGUUGCGGUGUCUUAUAUGUUGGCAUUUAUAUUGGGAGAGCAAACUUUAGGAGGUCACUGCAGGAUAGUUCUUGGUGAUUAGCCCACGGGUGGUUAUUAUGUACUGUUGGAGAUCAUUAUCUAGUGAAGCUGGAGUUUUAAGGAGAUAUUAUGACAUGAAAAUCCCAUUUAUACAAUAGUCAGAUUUGCGGUUGACCCAAUAACAUGCUCUAGGUUGGGAAUCUUUACUGCAACAUGAGCUUGUGUAAAAGAACUUGGUCUUUCUGAUGAUUGGCAACGGUCAUGUAGUUCAAAUUGACAGAGUGCUAGGUGAUGAUUCAUUGCAUUCAGUCUAUUGAUGAUUCAUGUAGCAGUGCUUGAAAGCUUUUGAUUAGUGUUAUCAGAAAAUGUUAAUACCCUAGCAAAUUACGUUUUGAAACACACAUUUUGAAAUAUGGUACACACUCAUUUCAAAAUGAUAAAUUUAGC